GUGCCAGCCGCCGCGGUAAUUCCAGCUCCAAUAGCGUAUAUUAAAGUUGUUGUGGUUAAAAAGCUCGUAGUUGAACCUUGGGCCUGGCUGGCCGGUCCGCCUCACCGCGUGCACUGGUCCGGCCGGGCCUUUCCCUCUGUGGAACCCCAUACCCUUCACUGGGCGUGGCGGGGAAACAGGACAUUUACUUUGAAAAAAUUAGAGUGCUCCAGGCAGGCCUAUGCUCGAAUACAUUAGCAUGGAAUAAUAAAAUAGGACGCGCGGUUCUAUUUUGUUGGUUUAUAGGACCGCCGUAAUGAUUAAUAGGGACAGUCGGGGGCAUCAGUAUUCAACUGUCAGAGGUGAAAUUCUUGGAUCAGUUGAAGACUAACUACUGCGAAAGCAUUUGCCCAAGGAUGUUUUCAUUAAUCAGGAACGAAAGUUAGGGGAUCGAAGACGAUCAGAUACCGUCGUAGUCUUAACCAUAAACUAUGCCCGACUAGGGAUCGGGACGGUGUUAUUCAUGGACCCGGUCGGCACCUUACGAGAAAUCAAAGUGCUUGGGCUCCAGGGGGAGUAUGGCGGCAAGGCUGAAAACUUAAAAGAAAUUGACGGAAGGCACCACCAGGGUGGAGGCUGCGCUUAUUUUGACUCACCCAGGGAAUCUCACAAGUCCCGGCACAUAAAGGAUUGAUAGAUGCGAGCGCG
rnacentral:rRNA from 1 species